UCUGCAUGGGCCAGACCAAAUCAUGUGAGUCCUUUAAAAGAUAGUAUUUUUUUCAGCUGGUACCAGAAGUCAAGGAGACACAUUCUGUCUGGCCUGGGGGAAAACAAGUAUCCCAUUUGGCUGGUAGAGAGGAGGCCAAGUGGCAAGGAAUUGGGACACCUUCGAGGGGCUGGGAGUCUCCUUGCCAUCUGACUAGGAGAAGUAAAAACAGCAACUCAGCCCUACAGCCACAAGGAAAUGAAUUCUGCCAACAGCCAAUGAGCUUGGCAGAGGACUCCUAAACUCAGGUGAAAAUUGCAGCCCAGACCAACACCUUGAUUUCAGGCGGCAGGACCUGGAAGAGAGUCCAGACAUGCUGGACCUGUACUUGUGAAAGUGGCGCAGUGGUAAAGAAUCCACCUGCCAAUGUAAGAGAGGCAAGAUAUGCGGGUUCGAUCCCUGGGUCAGGAAGAUCCCCUGGAGGAAGGAAUGGCACCCCACUCCAGAAUUCUUGCCUGAAAAAUUCCACUGGUGGAAGAGCCUGGUGGGCUACAGUCCUGUAGGGUUGCAAAGAAUCGGACAGGAAUGAAUAACCAAGCACCAGCACAACAACAGAAAUUGUUAAGAUAACAAGUAUAUAGUGUUUUAAGUUGCUGAGUCUCUGGUAACUUGUUACAUAGCAAUGGAAAACUGAUACAACUCUCAAUUAAGGAUUUGAAAUUGCCAAAGACCAGUUGCUAAGUCAAGAACUUGUUUCUAUCUUUGCCACCCAAAUCAAGACACAGGAAGCCUUCCAUUCUGGAGUAUCCAUUUUCCUGAAACAUCUGAUGGGAGCUUUAAUGGAAAAAAAAACUGAAUGUCCUAAAAUAUACAAUGGAUAUAUCCUGUGACCUUCCAGCUAAUAGAAUUGUGGACAAUGAAGUCACAAAGUUUUCUGGACAUCAAGAUCCAGAACUUGUCUAGGGGAAGAUCAGUAAGCCUCAUCCUGACUGCACGAUCAGACCACAGCUUACCAAGCUCUUACUCUUCUCUCCGAGUCAAGUUCUCAAGCUGAGCAAAUGAUUCAAAGAAAGGGUCUCUCUCCUCUGUUGGAAGAAAGAGAUAAUACUGUUCCAUUUUGUUCUGUGGUUCUUCCAUGCUAAGUCGCUUCAGUCAUGUCCACCUCUGUGUGACCCAAAGGACUUAGCCCACCAGGCUCCUCUGUCCAUGGGAUUCUCCAGGCAGGAAUACGGUAGUGGGUAGCCAUUUCCUUCUCCAGGGGAUCUUCCUUACCCAGGGAUCUAACCCAUGUCUCUUCUGUUUCCUUCAUUGGCAAGCAGAUUCUUUACAACUAGCAUCAUUUGGAAAGCCCCAUGGUUCUUCUGGGUGAUUUCAGUGGCUCAGACGGUAAACAGUCUGCCUGCAGUGUGGGAGACCCAGGUUCAAUCCCUGGGUUGGGAAGAUCCCCUGGAGAAGGAAAUGGCAACCCACUCCAGUAUCCUUGCCUGGAAAACCCCAUGAGGAGGGAUUUUCACGGAGGGAAAAUCAUAGAGGAGCCUAGCAGGCUACAGUCCCUGGGGUCGCAGAGUCAGAAACGACCGAGUGACUUCACUUUCACUUUAAGUCUGGCUAAUAAUCUCUACUCUCAAACCCCAGCAGCAGUGAGAGAAUUUCAAAAUUUCCUAUUGCACUAUAAUUUUUCCAGAGAUUCAGAUUGUUUUAAAUCAAAGAAUCUUGUUACUUAAACAGAACUUUCUUUAGGGUCUUGUGGAUACUUGUUCCGCAGGUUCAUGUGACGAAAAAUGCCUCUUAAGUAGCUAGUUGCUGUAACCUCCCUUCAUCAAAACACCCCACAAAAUCUGGCCUACUGUUUCUUGAAAAUCCUCCUAUAAUUCACAUUUUAGCUAAAACACGUGUUGUAAACUCUUCCUCUGCUUAGUCACAUAUUUUUAUAUAUAAUAGGUCUAUGUGAUCUUCUUAGAUAUGAUAACACAAUUUUAAGACAUUUUGGAAUGAGCUGAUCUUUAAUAAAAUUAAUCAUUUUGUACCAACA